GCACAAGCGGUGGAGCAUGUGGUUUAAUUCGACGCAACGCGCAGAACCUUACCAGCCCUUGACAUCCCGGUCGCGGACUCCAGAGACGGAGUUCUUCAGUUCGGCUGGCGGGAACACAGGUGCUGCAUGGCUGUCGUCAGCUCGUGUCGUGAGAUGUUGGGUUAAGUCCCGCAACGAGCGCAACCCUCGCCCUUAGUUGCCAUCAUUUAGUUGGGCACUCUAAGGGGACUGCCGGUGAUAAGCCGCGAGGAAGGUGGGGAUGACGUCAAGUCCUCAUGGCCCUUACGGGCUGGGCUACACACGUGCUACAAUGGCGGUGACAGAGGGACGCAAUGGAGCAAUCCUGCGCAAAUCUCAAAAAGCCGUCUCAGUUCGGAUUGCACUCUGCAACUCGGGUGCAUGAAGUUGGAAUCGCUAGUAAUCGCAGAUCAGCACGCUGCGGUGAAUACGUUCCCGGGC
rnacentral:rRNA from 1 species